CGCUGUCCUGAAAAAAAGUAAUCUGAGAUGAUUUAUAUUUAAUCAGGAUGAAGGCGGAUCGCUGUCCUGAAAAGCUUGAGCAUAUAGCACUCAAGAUGUGACUUUAUACAAUAUGAAAACUGAAAAUUCUUCAGGAUUCGAAAUAUUCAAGGAUAAUGAUUGGCAAAGACUGUUUUUUAAAGUUUAUAUGUUGUAGAAAAAAAUUAAGGUUGGGAGGAAUGUUAUAUCCAAUAAAUGGCUGCCGAUUAGGUGCGUCUUGACUGGGGCCACCACCUGGUGGAUGAUGUGGUAAUGGGAACGAGUGUGAAAGAAGCACAUGGCAAGUGAGACCCACAGCACCUGGUCAUAGCAGAUGAUAUGUAUUCAACCCAAGGUGGAGCAGUGGUCAUUGCCCACCGUCACCCAUCACCAUGCCAAAAACACCUUCUUGCAGCCCCAGUCUCCAUACAACAUGGUGUCUUCUAGGUGAACUGACUUUACCUGGCUGAACAUGGGGGACAUGUAUUUUAUAAAAAGCAAACAUAAAAAGACAGCAACAGGAACAUUGUCAUCUCACCCAGUUGUGCAAGACACGGGAUGUGGCAAGUUUUAGGAUGAAUGAACAGCCAGAGACAGGACAGCCAUUGAAAACAGGUGACUGGACCUCUUGCAGAUAGCAGACAAAUGUUUGUGGUUGUUUUUUAUACAAAUAAGGAUAGCAAAUACACUUCUGGAAUGGUGUAAAGAGCUGCUGGCAGACCAAGAGGUGAAUUUUAUUCUGAGUGAGAGAGAGAGUGCUGCCAGAGCCGCCCAGAACAAGACUUCCAAACACGGCAGAUCCUGUGGAGCCAGUUAUAUGGAACAGUACAAUUACACAACAAAUGUGGGUUCCAGGUAACACAAAGAAUUAAUUUCCCCAUAUGUAUGGAAACUAUAGAGUCAGGGUAUAUAAAGCAAGGAGAUUGUGUUGGACAAUACCCUGUCACUGAAGAUGAAUAGACAUAAUGGAAAUGUUUAAAAGUGAAUUGAUAUUUCAGCUCAGUUGUGAUGUGUUAUAAUAAUUUUCCUCAUAUGCAUGGAAACUUUUACAGUACUAGUAGAGGUAGCAUAUACAGUGAGAUUGUGGUAGACAACAUGCCAUAGCUGAAGAGACCAAGAGGUCAUUGAAAAUGUUUAGAUGUGAAUUUAUAUUUCAGGUCAGAUAUGAUGUGUUAUAAAUGGUCUCUGUUAUUGCGAGUGCAUUAAGUUAUAAUUGCAAAUUUUAUCACAUAUUUAUUAUAUACAGACACUUUCAGUCUGUCUAUAUUCUGAUCACUGUGUCUGUUCAGUGUCAUUGCCAUAGUCAGCACUUUGUGACACAUCUGUUGUUUGCCCUAAAACUGAUAAACUGUAUUUUUGUUUUGAAUUCCUCUAGAAAAUCAGCAUGCUUGGAUUAUUUUAUGAUGUUGUUUUGUUAUUGUUAGCAGUUUGGAUAUGAUGCUACAGUAUUUCCUGAGUAUAUCAAAUUAAAGCAGCAAUGUAAAUGUGUUUGUGCAUCAGGAGUGGUUUUAGUGCAUCUGCCUGUUUCAAUGUGGAGUUUGUGUGAAAACAACUAAGGCUUUUUCUUUUUUCAUCAUCUUGAACAACGUCCAGAUAUUUUUUCUUUUUUAAAUGUAUUUUUGAAUUGGCAGUAGAUGCUGGAUUUAGAUUUGUCCACAAGUUAACUGUGCAAGUUUUGUACGAAGCCACUGAUGAUGUGUUUUUUGAAUGUGCUAAGGAAUUUUUUGUGAGGAUUCUGUUUUAACCAUACAUCUCCAAAUCCGUUUCGAAUAGAGAAGUAAUCAUCUUUCAGAUUUGACAAGCUUUUUGUUGAGAGUAAUUUGUAAUAUUGUAAUUCAUCUGUAGGUUUGCUUGUUUAAGUAGGUUGUUAUCAUCCAAGUGUUAUAUUUUAAGCCAAAAUUUUAUUAAUUGUAUUUUAUACUUUAUGUGAGCAAGAAUUCUUCCAGUCUCUCCUCUGCCUGCAUACUUUGAUGAUAAAAGUUGUUUACAAAACCUGAGGUUAAGUUUUUACAAUUUUUACUGUUAGAGUAGUAUAGCCUCAUAACUCUGAUCUGUAUGUUCAUGACUCCAUAAUGCCCCAGCUUUGGACAGAUGUUAUUAAGUCUGUAAUUUUCAUUGUUUCUUGAGCACAAACAUUUAGUUUUAUGGUCUCAUUCCCUGAGUAAAAUGGUCAUGGGAUAUUUUAUUUGAUUUUGAAAUCCUUCGGUAUGCAGGUUACUUUAGUUGGGGAAGCAUAUGGGAAUGCUGAGCUCAUUAUUGCCUGCCCAAUAUAUAUAGCAGCACAUCUGAUGUCAGCAUUUUUGCUUUUGAUUAUUGACUUCAGAAGAAGAUUUAAAGAGGGUGGUAACACUGAUAGGUUUUGGGAAACAGAGCUAACAUCUUUUUUUAGUGGGAUAUAUGUUGUUAUGCUUUGGUAGGGCUCUACCAUACUUGCCCGUACUGGAAACUCACUUGCUCGAAUUUUACCAAGCAAAAAAUAAACAGUGUUUAUGUCUUUCUUCAUUUCAAUUUUAUUCUGGUGUUUGGGGUUUCUAUUCUGUGAAAUAUCUGAAAUGUAAUGAUAGUCUUAGAUAUGUCUGAGAUAUUGCCUGAGAAAAUGCUUCAAAUCUGCAAUACAGAAUAUAAAGAGAAUAAUGAGUACAAAUAUUGUCAUCCUUUCUUGUCAAAUUUC